GGGCGUAAAGAGCUCGUAGGCGGUUUGUCGCGUCUGCUGUGAAAAUCCAAGGCUCAACCUUGGACCUGCAGUGGGUACGGGCAGACUAGAGUGCGGUAGGGGAGAUGGGAAUUCCUGGUGUAGCGGUGGAAUGCGCAGAUAUCAGGAGGAACACCAAUGGCGAAGGCACAUCUCUGGGCCGUAACUGACGCUGAGGAGCGAAAGCGUGGGGAGCGAACAGGAUUAGAUACCCUGGUAGUCCACGCCGUAAACGGUGGGUGCUAGUUGUGGGCCACAUUCCACGUGGUCCGUGACGAAGUUAACACAUUAAGCACCCCGCCUGGGGAGUACGGUCGCAAGACUAAAACUCAAAGGAAUUGACGGGGGCCCGCACAAGCGGCAGAGCAUGCGGAUUAAUUCGAUGCAACGCGAAGAACCUUACCAAGGCUUGACAUAUAGAGGAAACGUGCAGAAAUGUACGCCCCGCAAGGUCUCUAUACAGGUGGUGCAUGGUUGUCGUCAGCUCGUGUCGUGAGAUGUUGGGUUAAGUCCCGCAACGAGCGCAACCCUCGUCCUAUGUUGCCAGCACGUAAUGGUGGGAACUCAUGGGAGACUGCCGGGGUCAACUCGGAGGAAGGU
rnacentral:rRNA from 1 species